GCUGGAAUCGCUAGUAAUCGCAGAUCAGAAUGCUGCGGUGAAUACGUUCCCGGGUCUUGUACACACCGCCCGUCACACCAUGGGAGUCGAUAACGCCCGAAGUCAGUGACCCAACCGAGAGGAGGGAGCUGCCGAAGGCGGGAUGGAUAACUGGGGUGAAGUCGUAACAAGGUACC
rnacentral:rRNA from 1 species